AGAUAUAUAACUCAGUGGUAGAGUGUCACCUUUGACGUUGUGGAAGUCAUUAGUUCAAAACCUGAUUAUCACCA
rnacentral:tRNA from 1 species